GGGUUGAGGGUGAUCUGUCUGCGGCAUUUGUCACUCAGUUGAUUGUCAGGAUUGAUUUGACUGAUCUGACUUCUUAGAUAGGCUUCACCAUCUUCCCUCAUUUUUCUAUGUGUAUAUCUCUUGAAGUUGUGUAUAUGGUGGAAGAAAACAAUCAUCCCAGUUAGAAGUGUACCACUCUUCAGUCAAGGGUAUACAACAAGAGUGUCAAAGUGGAUUUCUUCAAGGGCCAGAUCAGCAUUAUAGUUCUCCUCCAUGGGCCGGCCGGGGGGG
rnacentral:sRNA from 1 species